AGGACGAACGCUGGCGGCGUGCCUAACACAUGCAAGUCGAACGGAGCCCGCAAGGGUUCAGUGGCGAACGGGUGCGUAACACGUGAGGAACUUGUCCAUCGGCGGGGGAUAGCCGGCCCAACGGCCGGGUAAUACCGCGUACGCCGUCCGGAGCGCAUGCUCUGGCCGGGAAAGCAGCAAUGCACCGAUGGAGAGCCUCGCGGCCUAUCAGCUAGUUGGUGGGGUAAUGGCCUACCAAGGCGACGACGGGUAGCUGGUCUGAGAGGAUGACCAGCCACAUUGGGACUGAGACACGGCCCAGACUCCUACGGGAGGCAGCAGUGGGGAAUAUUGCGCAAUGGGCGAAAGCCUGACGCAGCGACGCCGCGUGUGGGAUGACGGCCUUCGGGUUGUAAACCACUGUCGCGAGGGACGAAGAUCUGACGGUACCUCGAAGGAAGCACCGGCUAACUCUGUGCCAGCAGCCGC
rnacentral:rRNA from 1 species